rnacentral:rRNA from 1 species
GACGAACGCUGGCGGCGUGCUUAACACAUGCAAGUCGAACGGAAAGGCCCUGCUUUUGUGGGGUGCUCGAGUGGCGAACGGGUGAGUAACACGUGAGUAACCUGCCCUUGACUUUGGGAUAACUUCAGGAAACUGGGGCUAAUACCGGAUAGGAGCUCCUGCUGCAUGGUGGGGGUUGGAAAGUUUCGGCGGUUGGGGAUGGACUCGCGGCUUAUCAGCUUGUUGGUGGGGUAGUGGCUUACCAAGGCUUUGACGGGUAGCCGGCCUGAGAGGGUGACCGGCCACAUUGGGACUGAGAUACGGCCCAGACUCCUACGGGAGGCAGCAGUGGGGAAUAUUGCACAAUGGGCGGAAGCCUGAUGCAGCAACGCCGCGUUCGGGAUGACGGCCUUCGGGGUGUAAACCGCUUUCGCCUGUGACGAAGCGUGAGUGACGGUAAUGGGUAAAGAAGCACCGGCUAACUACGUG